UGCGGGUAUGGCGUAAUUGGCAGGCGCGCUAGGUUCAAACCCUAGUGGUAGAGAUACCGUAUCGGUUCAAGUCCGAUUAUCCGCACCAA
rnacentral:tRNA from 1 species